rnacentral:rRNA from 1 species
GCAUAUCAAUAAGCGGAGGAAAAGAAACUAACAAGGAUUCCCCUAGUAACUGCGAGUGAAGCGGGAAAAGCUCAAAUUUAAAAUCUGGCGGUCUUUGGCCGUCCGAGUUGUAAUCUAGAGAAGUGCUUUCCGCGCUGGACCGUGUACAAGUCUCCUGGAAUGGAGCGUCAUAGAGGGUGAGAAUCCCGUCUUUGACACGGACUACCAGUGCUCUGUGAUGCGCUCUCAAAGAGUCGAGUUGUUUGGGAAUGCAGCUCAAAAUGGGUGGUGAAUUCCAUCUAAAGCUAAAUAUUGGCGAGAGACCGAUAGCGAACAAGUACCGUGAGGGAAAGAUGAAAAGAACUUUGAAAAGAGAGUUAAACAGUACGUGAAAUUGUUGAAAGGGAAACGCUUGAAGUCAGUCGCGUUUGCCAGAACUCAGCCUUGCAUCUGCUUGGUGUACUUUCUGGUGAACGGGCCAGCAUCAAUUUUGACCGCUGGAUAAUGGCGGGGGGAAGGUGGCACCUUCGGGUGUGUUAUAGCCCCCUGUCGCAUACAGUGGUUGGGAUUGAGGAAUUCAGCAUGCCUUUAUGGUCGGGGUUCGCCCACGUUCAUGCUUAGGAUGCUGGCGUAAUGGCUUUAAACGACCCGUCUUGAAACACGGACCAAGGAGUCUAACAUGCCUGCGAGUGUUUGGGUGGAAAACCCAUGCGCGUAAUGAAAGUGAAAGUUGAGACCUCUUCACGGAGGGCACCGACGCCCGGACCUGAGCUUCUGCGACGGAUCUGCGGUAGAGCAUGUAUGUUGGGACCCGAAAGAUGGUGAACUAUGCCUGAAUAGGGUGAAGCCAGAGGAAACUCUGGUGGAGGCUCGUAGCGAUUCUGACGUGCAAAUCGAUCGUCAAAUUUGGGUAUAGGGGCGAAAGACUAAUCGAACCAUCUAGUAGCUGGUUCCUGCCGAU